rnacentral:lncRNA from 1 species
CCGGUUCCCCGUCCGGCGCACCGCAAGGGACGCGGGGCUCUGGGCGCGGGGGCGGCGGGGGCUCUGCGCUGGGCUGGGCUGGCCCGCUCCGGCGCCGGGGACCACGCGCGACUGGUUAGAUCUUGUCGUGAUCUCUGGAAAACUGUGACUAUCUCACAUGUCCUGCCCUGCUCGGAUCCCCUGCGCUAACGAGCCAGGCCCCCCUUGAUUGCUGAUUUUACGCUUUUUGGACCAAUUGUGGGUCUCCGGGGGCGGGGUUUUGACAGCUCAGGCCAAGCUCCGGCCGGGAGGGGGGGCCGGGGAGAAGGUGUCGGAAGCCUCAGCAGUAAGAAAACAUGUCAACAGAAUAAAAUAUUAACCAAUGACGGGCCAGCGGGCCCCGAGACCCCUCCCCCUGCCCCGGCCCCCACCUCGCAGCCCGCGCCUGAGGCUGCCUUCGCCGGGACUGGAAAGCGCGGCGGCCGACCCGACCCGCCGCCGAAAGGGCCUGAGGCGGGGGGCGCCUGGGUCCCAGGGCCCUGGGGAAGGACCCCCAGCCGCAAGCUGCCCCAAGUGCAAAGCAUUGACAGGGCCCCGAGAGGAGAGGGGGCGCCCUCCUUCUCCCGCGCUCGGCCGCCCAGCAGCUCUGGCGCGCGCCCCAGCUUGGCCUCCGACCCCGCACCCGGCCGCGGCGCGGCCCGGGCCCCUGCGCUCCGGAGGGAGGCUGCGGGUGCUGGAAAGAGAGGCCGGUGGGCGGGCGAGUCGGGAGGCGCCGGCUGCCGAGGUCCUGGACCGGAACCCAGGUGGCGGGAGCCGAGGAGCUGACACUCGUGUUUGACAGAGUGCUGUGCACCUGAAUUUACCUUGAGACCACUGGGCCACCGCACCAAUCGAUCCCAGACAGUGUCCUCUAUCCCUGAGCGGCCACCCCAGCUCCCCUCUGACUCCUCAAAAACCGUGAAGAUUUUUUUGUUCCUCCCUCACAUUGAGAGAAGGUCCACAGUCAUUUGCCUGUCGAGCAGGUAGCAGUGUAAGAAUCAGGGAGGUCACAUGUCUUCCUCAAGGUCACCUGCUCAGGCCACAAUUUAGAUGCAUGUUCUGAUGGCCUCCUGGGUGAUGCCAUCAUGGAGGUCUGCUGGGGCUGCUGGGAGUGAGGCGGAGAGCGCCCUGGGUGUUAUCUCUAGAGGAUAGGAGGCUGGCUGCUCCCGGGCCAGUGGGCAGUACGGUCCCCCACCCUGGGGCCCAGCUCUCACUUCCAGCUGAUUACAGGCUGGGGCAGGGUCUAUAACCUCUCCAAUUAGCCAGGGGCCAGGCCCAAGGCCUCUCUGAUAACCCCAGCUCCAGUGGCAGCCGCCAUGGGGCCAGCUUAUCUGGCCUCUCUUAUCCUCCCCCUUCCCCCACAUACUCAAAGAGUCGCCCUGGCUGCGAGCAGAUGAAUAACCAGAUUGUCCUGCAAGCUCAGCCGGCAAGUCCAGCCCUACACCCACCACUUUCCCUGACUGAAGGAGGCCACAGCUGUUUUGCACCCCCUGGAGGGUGAGGGCUGAGCCAGGGAGGACUCCUGACUCGAAGAUGCCAGCCGCUUCCCUGCGUGGUUGGAGGGCGCUCCGGGCUCUCCGUCUUGGUCCCAUCCACGUGCCCGUGGGUGGGUUCAGAGAGGCCUACCCCUGCCUGCCUCAAGCUCUGGACCCUUCCACAAGGAGCCAGGCCAUGGGCAGUGUGCAAAGGCAGACUGGUGGCAGCCCCCUCCCUCCCUGGCCCCCUUGGACGGAAACUCGGCUCGGGCUGGAGGUGGGGGCUGUGCCAGGCACCUCGAUGUCUCCAACUGAGCUGGAAGGGGAAGAGCUGCUGCUCGUCCGGCAGCCCCCACCAGGCCCGGGCCUCCCUCCGUUCCCAGCAUGCCUCACUCUGGCACGUGAUUCCUCACCCCACAGGUUCCCAGGCAGGAGGGACUGGCUUCAGCCACCCUCGCUUCAGAGCUGAGUGUGACUCAGGUCCCCCUUUGCCCAGCAUGCCCAACGGGUCGGGGAGGGGCACUGGAGCUGUCCCUGCUCGGGCUGGACGGCUGGAUGGGAAGCCCUGCUUGUUUGUGAACGUAACUCUUCUGUGGCUGUCACAUUAAACGUCACUCCAAACCACACCUGGCUCAGUGGGUUUCCUUCAAUCCUCCCCGGCCCUUCCCAGGUCUCAAGGAAGGCGAGACUGGGGCUCGCAUUCGUCUCCCAUCCUGCUUGACACCCCUCUGCUCCCCCUGCUCCUGUCUCCUUCCUACCAUUGGCUUUAGGUCCAGAAUUGGGAGGAGGGAGGGGAAACCCCUCAGGGAAUUGUCAUCCAAGGUGGCAGCCAGGUUUCGUGGGAGACCUGCCUCGGCCCCACCAGCCUUCCAUCUUCUGAGUUUGAAAAAAGAGGCAAUGACAAGGUCCCUGUCCCAAACAUAAGCCCAGGGUCUUCCUCAGGCUCUCCUACCCACAGCAGCCCACCUGCGUGUGCCAAGGACCUGACUGCCACAGCCGGGGAGGGUCCGGGACUGUGGUGCCCCCAGAACUCAAUGGUGACAGGCAAGCAGGUGGGAGAAUGGAUUUAAGUCAGGCCCCACCCUGAUUCCGAGUCCGGAAUAAACAUCCUCCUUCUCCCUCCUACCCCCCUCCC